rnacentral:rRNA from 1 species
AUUGAACGCUGGCGGCAGGCUUAACACAUGCAAGUCGAGCGGUAGCACAGGGGAGCUUGCUCCCUGGGUGACGAGCGGCGGACGGGUGAGUAAUGUCUGGGAAACUGCCUGAUGGAGGGGGAUAACUACUGGAAACGGUAGCUAAUACCGCAUAACGUCGCAAGCCCAAAGAGGGGGACCUUCGGGCCUCUUUCCAUCAGAUGUGCCCAGAUGGGAUUAGCUAGUAGGUGGGGUAAUGGCUCACCUAGGCGACGAUCCCUAGCUGGUCUGAGAGGAUGACCAGCCACACUGGAACUGAGACACGGUCCAGACUCCUACGGGAGGCAGCAGUGGGGAAUAUUGCACAAUGGGCGCAAGCCUGAUGCAGCCAUGCCGCGUGUGUGAAGAAGGCCUUCGGGUUGUAAAGCACUUUCAGCGAGGAGGAAGGUGGUGAGCUUAAUACGUUCAUCAAUUGACGUUACUCGCAGAAGAAGCACCGGCUAACUCCGUG